UACGUAGGUGGCAAGCGUUGUCCGGAUUUAUUGGGUUUAAAGGGUGCGUAGGCGGCUUUGUAAGUCAGCGGUGAAAUACUCUAGCUUAACUAGAGGGGUGCCAUUGAUACUGCGGAGCUUGAGUACAGAUGAGGUAGGCGGAAUUGACGGUGUAGCGGUGAAAUGCGUAGAGAUCCGGAAGAACACCGGUGGCGAAGGCGGCAUCCUGGACCGGUAUUGACGCUGAGGCGCGAAAGCCAGGGGAGCAAACGGG
rnacentral:rRNA from 1 species